rnacentral:rRNA from 1 species
GAAGUUAACGCAUUAAAGCACUCCGCCUGGGGAGUACGGCCGCAAGGCUGACACUCAAAAAAAAUAGACGGGGCGCCCCGCCCCAGCGGUCGCGCAUGUUUUUUAAUUCGAAGCAACGCGAAGAACCUUACCAGGUCUUGACAUCCUCUGAAAACCCUAGAGAUAGGGCUUCUCCUUCGGGAGCAGAGUGACAGCUGGUGCAUCGUUGUCGUCAGCUCGUGUCGUGAGAUGUUGGGUUAAGUCCCGCAACGAGCGCAACCCUUGAUCUUAGUUGCCAUCAUUAAGUUGGGCACUCUAAGGUGACUGCCGGUGACAAACCGGAGGAAGGUGGGGAUGACGUCAAAUCAUCAUGCCCCUUAUGACCUGGGCUACACACGUGCUACAAUGGACGGUACAAAGAGCUGCAAGACCGCGAGGUGGAGCUAAUCUCAUAAAACCGUUCUCAGUUCGGAUUGUAGGCUGCAACUCGCCUACAUGAAGCUGGAAUCGCUUGUAAUCGCGGAUCAGCAUGCCGCGGUGAAUACGUUCCCGGGCCUGGUACACACCGCCCGUCACCCCACGAGAGUUUGUAACACCCGAAGUCGGUUGGGUAUCCUCCUGCUCA